UUAACCCAUUUAACAACUCAACCUAUAAUAAUUAAAUGAUUUAUGGGUUGACCCAACUCAUUUUGUUAAAUGGGUUGGGUCAACCCAUAACUCAUUUAACCCUAAACUCAUUUGAUUAUGAGU
rnacentral:pre_miRNA from 1 species